rnacentral:lncRNA from 1 species
UUUUACAGUCUCUAGCUAAAUGUCCUAGUUUUUCACAAUUAUAACAAGUAUAUUCUUUUAUAGAUUUCAUUUUUCUAUAUGGUCUUUUAUAUUUAUAAUUUCUUACAUAAUAUCUUUUUCUUGGUUUCUUAUACUUAUAUUUUGACUUGCUGUACUUCUUAUAUUUCCCGUGUCUUUUUCUUUUCUUAUAAUAUUUUUCUUCACAUCUAAAUUGGGGUGCUAUUUUAUCCUUGCAACAUGCUAAAUUCCUUAUUAAUAUUUUUUCCAUUUUUAUUUCUA